rnacentral:rRNA from 1 species
GACGAACGCUGGCGGCGUGCUUAACACAUGCAAGUAGAACGCUGAAGAGAGGAGCUUGCUCUUCUUGGAUGAGUUGCGAACGGGUGAGUAACGCGUAGGUAACCUGCCUGGUAGCGGGGGAUAACUAUUGGAAACGAUAGCUAAUACCGCAUAAAAUUGAUUAUUGCAUGAUAAUUAAUUGAAAGAUGCAAUUGCAUCACUACCAGAUGGACCUGCGUUGUAUUAGCUAGUUGGUGAGGUAACGGCUCACCAAGGCGACGAUACAUAGCCGACCUGAGAGGGUGAUCGGCCACACUGGGACUGAGACACGGCCCAGACUCCUACGGGAGGCAGCAGUAGGGAAUCUUCGGCAAUGGGGGGAACCCUGACCGAGCAACGCCGCGUGAGUGAAGAAGGUUUUCGGAUCGUAAAGCUCUGUUGUAAGAGAAGAACGGGUGUGAGAUUGGAAAGUUCGGG